rnacentral:rRNA from 1 species
UACGGGAGGCAGCAGUGGGGAAUAUUGCACAAUGGGCGCAAGCCUGAUGCGGCCAUGCCGCGUGUAUGAAAAAGGCCUUCGGGUUGUAAAGUACUUUCAGUCGUGAGGAAGGUGUUAAGGUUAAUAACCUUAGCAAUUGACGUUAGCGACAGAAGAAGCACCGGCUAACUCCGUGCCAGCAGCCGCGGUAAUACGGAGGGUGCGAGCGUUAAUCGGAAUUACUGGGCGUAAAGGGCACGCAGGCGGUUAAUUAAGUUGGAUGUGAAAUCCCCGGGCUUAACCUGGGAAUGGCAUUCAAGACUGGUUAGCUAGAGUCUUGUAGAGGGGGUAGAAUUCCAUGUGUAGCGGUGAAAUGCGUAGAGAUGUGGAGGAAUACCGGUGGCGAAGGCGGCCCCUGGACAAAGACUGACGCUCAUGUGCGAAAGCGUGGGGAGCAAACGAGGGAUUAGAUACC